AUUGAACGCUGGCGGCAGGCCUAACACAUGCAAGUCGAGCGGAUGAAGGGAGCUUGCUCCUGGAUUCAGCGGCGGACGGGUGAGUAAUGCCUAGGAAUCUGCCUGGUAGUGGGGGAUAACGUCCGGAAACGGGCGCUAAUACCGCAUACGUCCUGAGGGAGAAAGUGGGGGAUCUUCGGACCUCACGCUAUCAGAUGAGCCUAGGUCGGAUUAGCUAGUUGGUGGGGUAAAGGCCUACCAAGGCGACGAUCCGUUACUGGUCUGAGAGGAUGAUCAGGCACACGGGAACUGAGACACGGUCCAGACUCCUACGGGAGGCAGCAGUGGGGAAUAUUGGACAAUGGGCGAAAGCCUGAUCCAGCCAUGCCGCGUGUGUGAAGAAGGUCUUCGGAUUGUAAAGCACUUUAAGUUGGGAGGAAGGGCAGUAAGUUAAUACCUUGCUGUUUUGACGUUACCAACAGAAUAAGCACCGGCUAACUUCGUG
rnacentral:rRNA from 1 species